rnacentral:rRNA from 1 species
GAUGAACGCUGGCGGCGUGCCUAAAACAUGCAAGUCGAGCGAACAGAUAAGGAGCUUGCUCCUUUGACGUUAGCGGCGGACGGGUGAGUAACACGUGGGUAACCUACCUAUAAGACUGGAAUAACUCCGGGAAACCGGGGCUAAUGCCGGAUAACAUUUAGAACCGCAUGGUUCUAAAGUGAAAGAUGGUUUUGCUAUCACUUAUAGAUGGACCCGCGCCGUAUUAGCUAGUUGGUAAGGUAACGGCUUACCAAGGCAACGAUACGUAGCCGACCUGAGAGGGUGAUCGGCCACACUGGAACUGAGACACGGUCCAGACUCCUACGGGAGGCAGCAGUAGGGAAUCUUCCGCAAUGGGCGAAAGCCUGACGGAGCAACGCCGCGUGAGUGAUGAAGGUCUUCGGAUCGUAAAACUCUGUUAUUAGGGAAGAACAAAUGUGUAAGUAACUGUGCACGUCUUGACGGUACCUAAUCAGAAAGCCACGGCUAACUACGUG